AUUUAAAUAGUUUAAUAAAAAUAUUGAUUUGUGGUAUCAAAGAUGUAAUGUUACUUUAAAUU
rnacentral:tRNA from 1 species